rnacentral:rRNA from 1 species
UGGGGGAUAUUGCACAAUGGGGGGAACCCUGAUGCAGCGACGCCGCGUGGGUGAAGAAGCGCCUCGGCGCGUAAAGCCCUGUCAGCAGGGAAGAAAAUGACGGUACCUGAAGAAGAAGCCCCGGCUAACUACGUGCCAGCAGCCGCGGUAAUACGUAGGGGGCAAGCGUUAUCCGGAUUUACUGGGUGUAAAGGGAGCGUAGACGGCGAUGCAAGUCUGAAGUGAAAGGCGGGGGCCCAACCCCUGGACUGCUUUGGAAACUGGCGGGCUGGAGUGCGGGAGGGGUAAGCGGAAUUCCUAGUGUAGCGGUGAAAUGCGUAGAUAUUAGGAGGAACACCGGUGGCGGAGGCGGCUUACUGGACCGUAACUGACGUUGAGGCUCGAAAGCGUGGGGAGCAAACAGG